UACGUAGGGGGCAAGCGUUGUCCGGAUUCAUUGGGCGUAAAGAGCGUGUAGGCGGCCAGGUAGGUCGGUUGUGAAAACUGGAGGCUCAACCUUCAGAGGUCGACCGAAACCAUCUGGCUAGAGUCCGGGAGAGGAGAGUGGAAUUCCGGGUGUGAGCGGUGGAAUGCGUAGAGAUCCGGAAGAACACCGGUGGCGAAGGCGGCCUGCUGGGCAGUGGCUGGACACUGAGGCGCGGACACG
rnacentral:rRNA from 1 species